AGGUUUUAAUAUGACGACACUUUUUAAUUCGUAUCCCGCUUAUUCGACAUAUGUCGAAUUAAAAAGUGUUCAAAUGUCUCAGCGAUGUACACUGUAAAUGUAAAACAGAUUUAUAUUGCGCUUAUACUCGCACCCGUAGCAGCUCCUCUUGCAGCCGGUAAUUCCGGAAGUUCUGAUUUGAUGCUAUUCGACAUCCAAACCGGCUGGAGUCCAACCGGAACGAACUGAGGAUGACAACAACCGUAGAAAGAACGAGCUUUUCAUUAGCUCCACCGCAGUAUCUGUUGAAAUUAUGUUUCAUAACAAAUCCGGAAAUCAAAACAAAAACAAAAAUAGAGUUGCCAAAUUUCAAUGAGCAUGGAGGUGUAGGGUAACCAGUUUGUCGAAUUAAAAGUUUACCCGGUUAUUCGACAACAGUCCGUGUCGUAUUAGCGGGGUAAUACGGUAUUAGUUGCAGAGCGAAGGCCGCUCAGAUGCACCGAAUUUAUUCAUCGAUAGCGUAACAACCCGCAUAGCAAAAAACACUUUGACUUGUGGUUUCAACAUCAAACAUGACAUAAGUAAUACUGUAACCACAACUGUUGCUGUUUACUUAUGAUUUCAUACAUUGUUUUUAUCGAUGUUAAACUGUAUAGAAUAUUUACUCAACAAUACCAUUUUCAGUCAAAAAUAUACCAUAUUGUAGUUAAAUUAUUAUUGACUAUCCAUGUGCUUGAAUCUUAACAUUUCGCAACAAUAAAAACGGCAUACAAUUUGUUCUACAAGGUGUAACAUCAUGCUAAAUGGUAUACAUGUUUUCAUUUGUUUUCCAUUUGCUAACUGGAAAAACACCGCCGCCACGAACACAUCGAAAUAUUACAUUGUUCCACUUUUAUUGGACCAUACGUCAAAUUGUUAUGCAGUAACUGGAGUAACUGUGCGCGUUCCGGAUGAGCCUUUAGUAUUAAGUUUUGUUUUUGUAAUUAUUGCUUUUUUUGAAAAGAUGAAGAGGUUUUAUGCCUCUUUGAGAACGAUUUCGAAAUGCAAGGAAAUCACUCAAAGGGGCUUUUCCCUCUUUCAAAAUUAUAAGUUAAAUAAACAACAACAACAACAACUGUGCGCGUGUGUUUUUUUUUCGCAAAUUUUCUUGCCUCAUGCGAGUUCUUCAAAAUCGAACGUGCAAAAUGGUGGUGUGCGGCUCGGUGUCCGAGCUUUCGCAAACUAAUUCAAAACUGCGGCUACCCAGAGACUAAUUCCUGCUACGGUGAAACUGUCUGGAGUAAAUAAUUAGGGGAACCACCAACAAAGUGUACUGCAAAAACCAACCUGACAAGCACCAAAGCUAUGAUGACUCUUCUGUUGAGGCGGCAAUCUCAUUCAGACCGGAAAAGUGAAUUUUGAGAUCCCUGACAAAACGUUCCUGCGGAAGAAGCCCCAACGAUGCGGGGGAUGUCCACAAUGACAAAGAACCGAUGCUGGAGUAAACUUCUGGACAAACUUCAGAGUGUAUGCUGGCGCGAAAACUAAGUAUCAACGAACUCAAAUCGGAAGAGGAUUUAGAUGAGCAGCAGCUCACAGAUUAAUUCCUAGUGGCGACGAAAUUCGGUCGGAGGACCUGCUUUGGCGUUACGGAGAAAGCUGUUGUUGCUGAGAACAUGCUACGGUCACCUGAUAUCUAAGCUUAUGCAAAUCACUGCUUGAAAUAGCGAAUUUCCCCUGGAAUUUCCCCUCAAGUUUCAAAUAAUUAAUUAUUUUCAACAAAUCAGAUUAUUUCAAGGAUAAUUUCCCAGUUUAAGCAAGAGCUUCCAUCAGCUUUACCUUUAUAAGAUAAAUAAUCGCCAGUACCAGAUAAUUGUAAUACUAUGUAGCAAGAAUAAAGCAGUUAUUAAAAAAACAGCAAAUUUCUCGUAAUUCAUUAUAUUUAUGAUGUUAAAAAGACAAAAAAACAGUAUAGCAUAUUGUUCUGAAUAACAUAUUGCACAUUAAACGAACUUAUUCAUUUAGUGUAAUUGAUUUCUCACUGAAUUUAUGGUUUUAUUACAUUUUAACAAUUUGACUAACUGUAAUUGUUUCGAAAAAUGAAUUAUAUACCCACCCUGUGGCAUAUUGUUUUGCGAAAAUUUUGUUCGAGAAAAAAGCUGAUUUUUUAUUGUAACCUAACUUAACAGCCUAUUCGCCAUAUUGUCAUUUGGCCCAUUACAAUUUGCCAAGGGGUAUGUUACAAUAUACCAACCCUAUCACCUAAUGUGAUAGCGGAUAAUAUGGGAUAUUGCACAGGUAUAGCCGUAAAUGGUUGUCGAUAAUAUGCAUAAUAGUAAGUAUAUAAUUUACAACUAUGCGGGAAGUUCCUUGUUCGUGACACCCGGGACAUUGACGAUUUUGUUUCGCAUGUCUUAUCCUCACGCAAAAACGGCUAUACGCUCAAAAAUGUGUUCGGCCUGCACAUUUUUAGUAAACAUCCAUGCCGCACGGCUGUGUUGGGAACACACAUUAUUUUUAAAUUGCUCGUACGCUCACAUGAGCAUGUAUUUUGCAAUAAUUUCGACAUGGCAACCUCACUGGGU